rnacentral:snoRNA from 1 species
CAGCUCACUGGGGCAUGGUCCUCUCUCAGGUGGUCCUGACCUGCCCUCUGUGAGCAAGAGAAAGAGGACUGAUUUGGGGGCAUCCCAUCCAAGUGGCUGCGGGAUACCACGGUUUUCAGUACAACA